UCCGAUUUUCAUGUCCGCAGCCCACCAUACCCAGUCGGUUCCUUGCGUUAUAAAAUCGCGAGAGUGAAGAAUCCUCUCUCACUCCAGAAGAACAUGGCCGCCAUUCCUCUCCUCCGCCUCUCAGCCACAGCUAAUCUCAGCUCCCGGUCACCUCUCUUACCUGAUCCCUUCAAACUCAAACGGUUGCCACCACGAAAAUGGAGCACCACCGCAACCACAACCACAACCACAACCACCAUCACCCGCAUGUCCUACAACCCAACCCCAGCCACUGAUCGGUUAAUCUCAGCCGUGGCUUACACUCUCCCCCUUUUCAAUUCCCUCCAGUAUGGUCGUUUCCUCUUCCUCCAAUACCCAACUCUGGGCUCCCUCUUUGACCCUCUCCUCCCUCUCCUCUCCCUCUAUAGGUCCAUCCCCUACUCCUCCUUUGUUGCCUUCUUUGCUCUGUACCUCGGCGUGGUCAGGAACCCGUCUUUUAGCCGCUACGUCAGGUUCAACUCCAUGCAGGCCGUCACUUUGGACGUGCUCCUCGUGCUUCCCUUGUUGCUCCAAAGGGUCUUCAGCCCGGGCAGGACCGGGCUCGGCUUCAAGGUCACGGUCUGGUUCUAUAACGUGCUGUUUGUGUUCAGUGUAUUGUGUUUUCUUUAUAGUGUGGUGUGUUGUGUUCUCGGCAAGACUCCCUACUUGCCAUUCGUUGCCGAUGCUGCCGGUAGACAGAUCUAGGUCCUGUGAACGAGUGGAACAAAAUGUUGACCAUUUCUCCGAACAGUUGGUGUGCGUCUUAUCAAACUUGUUAUCUGCGUUAUAUUUAUAUUAGGUUGUGGGUUUUCGUAUUGGGUACAAGUGCUGAGGCGGCAUUGGUUAGUAGCAAGGAAGUUUGCUUUGGGAAGUUACUGUCGCUGGAUGAUGUGUGAUAUAAGUUGACUAUAUACACCUUUUAAACCAUAUAUGUGCUUAAUUUCAAAGUUGAUUGAGCAAUUUCUAGUUGAGUAUGGAUGAUUCUUGGCCAUGAAUUUAUUAAUAACUUGGGACCUGAUUGCAGUCUCUUGGAACGAAAAAAUCCUUUUGAAUUCCAAGGUCAAAUGUAUGAUUCA